rnacentral:rRNA from 1 species
AACGAACGCUGGCGGCAGGCUUAACACAUGCAAGUCGAACGCCCCGCAAGGGGAGUGGCAGACGGGUGAGUAACGCGUGGGAACGUGCCCUUCGCUUCGGAAUAUUCCCGGGAAACUGGGAGCAAUGCCGGAUACGCCGCAUUGGGAAAGAUUUAUCGGCGAAGGAUCGGCCCGCGUUAGAUUAGGUAGUUGGUGGGGUAAUGGCCUACCAAGCCUACGAUCUAUAGCUGGUCUGAGAGGAUGAUCAGCCACACUGGGACUGAGACACGGCCCAGACUCCUACGGGAGGCAGCAGUGGGGAAUCUUGGACAAUGGGCGCAAGCCUGAUCCAGCCAUGCCGCGUGAGUGAAGAAGGCCUUAGGGUUGUAAAACUCUUUCGCCGGUGAAGAUAAUGACGGUAGCCGGAGAAGAAGCCCCGGCUAACUUCGUGCCAGCAGCCGCCGUAAAAC